rnacentral:rRNA from 4 species
UGGCAGUCAGAGGCGAUGAAGGACGUGCUAAUCUGCGAUAAGCGUCGGUAAGGUGAUAUGAACCGUUAUAACCGGCGAUUUCCGAAUGGGGAAACCCAGUGUGAUUCGUCACACUAUCAUUAACUGAAUCCAUAGGUUAAUGAGGCGAACCGGGGGAACUGAAACAUCUAAGUACCCCGAGGAAAAGAAAUCAACCGAGAUUCCCCCAGUAGCGGCGAGCGAACGGGGAGCAGCCCAGAGCCUGAAUCAGUGUGUGUGUUAGUGGAAGCGUCUGGAAAGGCGUGCGAUACAGGGUGACAGCCCCGUACACAAAAAUGCACAUACUGUGAGCUCGAUGAGUAGGGCGGGACACGUGGUAUCCUGUCUGAAUAUGGGGGGACCAUCCUCCAAGGCUAAAUACUCCUGACUGACCGAUAGUGAACCAGUACCGUGAGGGAAAGGCGAAAAGAACCCCGGCGAGGGGAGUGAAAAAGAACCUGAAACCGUGUACGUACAAGCAGUGGGAGCACGCUUAGGCGUGUGACUGCGUACCUUUUGUAUAAUGGGUCAGCGACUUAUAUUCUGUAGCAAGGUUAACCGAAUAGGGGAGCCGAAGGGAAACCGAGUCUUAACUGGGCGUUAAGUUGCAGGGUAUAGACCCGAAACCCGGUGAUCUAGCCAUGGGCAGGUUGAAGGUUGGGUAACACUAACUGGAGGACCGAACCGACUAAUGUUGAAAAAUUAGCGGAUGACUUGUGGCUGGGGGUGAAAGGCCAAUCAAACCGGGAGAUAGCUGGUUCUCCCCGAAAGCUAUUUAGGUAGCGCCUCGUGAAUUCAUCUCCGGGGGUAGAGCACUGUUUCGGCAAGGGGGUCAUCCCGACUUACCAACCCGAUGCAAACUGCGAAUACCGGAGAAUGUUAUCACGGGAGACACACGGCGGGUGCUAACGUCCGUCGUGAAGAGGGAAACAACCCAGACCGCCAGCUAAGGUCCCAAAGUCAUGGUUAAGUGGGAAACGAUGUGGGAAGGCCCAGACAGCCAGGAUGUUGGCUUAGAAGCAGCCAUCAUUUAAAGAAAGCGUAAUAGCUCACUGGUCGAGUCGGCCUGCGCGGAAGAUGUAACGGGGCUAAACCAUGCACCGAAGCUGCGGCAGCGACGCUUAUGCGUUGUUGGGUAGGGGAGCGUUCUGUAAGCCUGUGAAGGUGUGCUGUGAGGUAUGCUGGAGGUAUCAGAAGUGCGAAUGCUGACAUAAGUAACGAUAAAGCGGGUGAAAAGCCCGCUCGCCGGAAGACCAAGGGUUCCUGUCCAACGUUAAUCGGGGCAGGGUGAGUCGACCCCUAAGGCGAGGCCGAAAGGCGUAGUCGAUGGGAAACAGGUUAAUAUUCCUGUACUUGGUGUUACUGCGAAGGGGGGACGGAGAAGGCUAUGUUGGCCGGGCGACGGUUGUCCCGGUUUAAGCGUGUAGGCUGGUUUUCCAGGCAAAUCCGGAAAAUCAAGGCCGAGGCGUGAUGACGAGGCACUACGGUGCUGAAGCAACAAAUGCCCUGCUUCCAGGAAAAGCCUCUAAGCAUCAGGUAACAUCAAAUCGUACCCCAAACCGACACAGGUGGUCAGGUAGAGAAUACCAAGGCGCUUGAGAGAACUCGGGUGAAGGAACUAGGCAAAAUGGUGCCGUAACUUCGGGAGAAGGCACGCUGAUACGUAGGUGAAGCGACUUGCUCGUGGAGCUGAAAUCAGUCGAAGAUACCAGCUGGCUGCAACUGUUUAUUAAAAACACAGCACUGUGCAAACACGAAAGUGGACGUAUACGGUGUGACGCCUGCCCGGUGCCGGAAGGUUAAUUGAUGGGGUUAGCGCAAGCGAAGCUCUUGAUCGAAGCCCCGGUAAACGGCGGCCGUAACUAUAACGGUCCUAAGGUAGCGAAAUUCCUUGUCGGGUAAGUUCCGACCUGCACGAAUGGCGUAAUGAUGGCCAGGCUGUCUCCACCCGAGACUCAGUGAAAUUGAACUCGCUGUGAAGAUGCAGUGUACCCGCGGCAAGACGGAAAGACCCCGUGAACCUUUACUAUAGCUUGACACUGAACAUUGAGCCUUGAUGUGUAGGAUAGGUGGGAGGCUUUGAAGUGUGGACGCCAGUCUGCAUGGAGCCGACCUUGAAAUACCACCCUUUAAUGUUUGAUGUUCUAACGUGGACCCGUGAUCCGGGUUGCGGACAGUGUCUGGUGGGUAGUUUGACUGGGGCGGUCUCCUCCUAAAGAGUAACGGAGGAGCACGAAGGUUGGCUAAUCCUGGUCGGACAUCAGGAGGUUAGUGCAAUGGCAUAAGCCAGCUUGACUGCGAGCGUGACGGCGCGAGCAGGUGCGAAAGCAGGUCAUAGUGAUCCGGUGGUUCUGAAUGGAAGGGCCAUCGCUCAACGGAUAAAAGGUACUCCGGGGAUAACAGGCUGAUACCGCCCAAGAGUUCAUAUCGACGGCGGUGUUUGGCACCUCGAUGUCGGCUCAUCACAUCCUGGGGCUGAAGUAGGUCCCAAGGGUAUGGCUGUUCGCCAUUUAAAGUGGUACGCGAGCUGGGUUUAGAACGUCGUGAGACAGUUCGGUCCCUAUCUGCCGUGGGCGCUGGAGAACUGAGGGGGGCUGCUCCUAGUACGAGAGGACCGGAGUGGACGCAUCACUGGUGUUCGGGUUGUCAUGCCAAUGGCACUGCCCGGUAGCUAAAUGCGGAAGAGAUAAGUGCUGAAAGCAUCUAAGCACGAAACUUGCCCCGAGAUGAGUUCUCCCUGACCCUUUAAGGGUCCUGAAGGAACGUUGAAGACGACGACGUUGAUAGGCCGGGUGUGUAAGCGCAGCGAUGCGUUGAGCUAACCGGUACUAAUGAACCGUGAGGCUUAACCUU